rnacentral:misc_RNA from 1 species
AAGUCGUAACAAGGUUUCCGUAGGUGAACCUGCGGAGGGAUCAUUAACACGUAUCCACGUAUACACCAUACGCGAACUAGGAGACCGAGCUUGGCUUUUCGGAGCUAAGCAAAGUCACCAUUCUCCCUAUUCUUUCGUAGCCAAGUGAGUCCCAGUCAGCUUGUAGUGGGUGUUGCUUUCGGGUAGCACAGCUGCUGUGAUUUGCGUUUAGGCUUGUUUGAAUGGGCUUUUUAAUCCCACUACAGAAAAACCUGUAUCACCUCGAUAUACCUAUGGACUGAUUUCGAUAUAUGCCGCUCCCUAUGUUCCAGUAUUUGGUGUUGCUGUAAUGGCUUACCAGAGAGCGAUCUGGGAUGUCGCCGUCAUGUAUCAGCCUUGAUAUCGAUAUAUCAAUAUCAAAUGUUAAGCACAACUCUUAGCAACGGAUAUCUUGGUUCUC